GUGGGAGUAGCUCAGCUGGAUAGAGCACCAGGUUGUGGUCCUGGGGGCCGCGGGUUCGAAUCCCGUCUCUCACCC
rnacentral:tRNA from 1 species